GACGAACGCUGGCGGCGUGCUUAACACAUGCAAGUCGAACGGAAAGGCCCUGCUUUUGUGGGGUGCUCGAGUGGCGAACGGGUGAGUAACACGUGAGUAACCUGCCCUUGACUUUGGGAUAACUUCAGGAAACUGGGGCUAAUACCGGAUAGGAGCUCCUGCUGCAUGGUGGGGGUUGGAAAGUUUCGGCGGUUGGGGAUGGACUCGCGGCUUAUCAGCUUGUUGGUGGGGUAGUGGCUUACCAAGGCUUUGACGGGUAGCCGGCCUGAGAGGGUGACCGGCCACAUUGGGACUGAGAGACGGCCCAGACUCCUACGGGAGGCAGCAGUGGGGAAUAUGGCACAAUGGGCGGAAGCCGGAUGCAGCAACGCCGCGUGCGGGAUGACGGCCUUCGGGUUGUAAACCGCUUUCGCCUGUGACGAAGCGUGAGUGACGGUAAUGGGUAAAGAAGCACCGGCUAACUACGU
rnacentral:rRNA from 1 species